UAGGGAAUCUUCCGCAAUGGACGCAAGUCUGACGGAGCAACGCCGCGUGAGUGAAGAAGGUUUUCGGAUCGUAAAACUCUGUUGUUAGAGAAGAAUAAGCAUAAUAGUAACUGAUUAUGCCGUGACGGUAUCUAACCAGAAAGCCACGGCUAACUACGUGCCAGCAGCCGCGGUAAUACGUAGGUGGCAAGCGUUGUCCGGAUUUAUUGGGCGUAAAGCGAGCGCAGGCGGUUCCUUAAGUCUGAUGUGAAAGCCCACGGCUCAACCGUGGAGGGUCAUUGGAAACUGGGGAACUUGAGUGCAGAAGAGGAGAGUGGAAUUCCAUGUGUAGCGGUGAAAUGCGUAGAUAUAUGGAGGAACACCGGUGGCGAAAGCGGCUCUCUGGUCUGUAACUGACGCUGAGGCUCGAAAGCGUGGGUAGCGAACAG
rnacentral:rRNA from 1 species